rnacentral:tRNA from 1 species
UUCAACUACAGAAACUUU